rnacentral:lncRNA from 1 species
GCAACCCCUGCCCCUCUUGCUGCGCCGCGCGUUUGUCACCUGGUCGAAGUCCUUCCGUGCGCCUCGGGUGGAAGAUGGCAUGUCGCCGGAUGGGCCCCCUGCGGGUGGCAGUGGGGCUGUUGGACGGCCCGGAGGCGCGUCAGAGACAUUUGGACAUGGCUGGUGAGCCCAGACCAGGCCCCACCCGGCCUGGCCAGAAGAGGCAGCAGGGCACAGCUAUCUUUUGUAACUAUGACCUGAACUACAAAUUGCACAGAGAAGAUGUCCCUUACAGGGUGUAUGAAUAUCAGAGGAUUCCUCCACUUAUCAACCAGGUGCCUGCCAAGAUCCGCAGGACCCAUGUGGGCCUGGGAAUCAAGAGCAGCUGCAACCCACACAAGGCCUCCAGGAAUAGCCAUCUGGCCCCCAGGCAGAUGAAACGUGAGUGA